GGGACACGUGGUAUCCUGUCUGAAUAUGGGGGGACCAUCCUCCAAGGCUAAAUACUCCUGACUGACCGAUAGUGAACCAGUACCGUGAGGGAAAGGCGAAAAGAACCCCGGCGAGGGGAGUGAAAAAGAACCUGAAACCGUGUACGUACAAGCAGUGGGAGCACCUUCGGGUGUGACUGCGUACCUUUUGUAUAAUGGGUCAGCGACUUAUAUUCUGUAGCAAGGUUAACCGUAUAGGGGAGCCGCAGGGAAACCGAGUCUUAACUGGGCGUUAAGUUGCAGGGUAUAGACCCGAAACCCGGUGAUCUAGCCAUGGGCAGGUUGAAGGUUGGGUAACACUAACUGGAGGACCGAACCGACUAAUGUUGAAAAAUUAGCGGAUGACUUGUGGCUGGGGGUGAAAGGCCAAUCAAACCGGGAGAUAGCUGGUUCUCCCCGAAAGCUAUUUAGGUAGCGCCUCGUGAAUUCAUCUUCGGGGGUAGAGCACUGUUUCGGCUAGGGGGUCAUCCCGACUUACCAACCCGAUGCAAACUACGAAUACCGAAGAAUGUUAUCACGGGAGACACACGGCGGGUGCUAACGUCCGUCGUGAAGAGGGAAACAACCCAGACCGCCAGCUAAGGUCCCAAAGUCAUGGUUAAGUGGGAAACGAUGUGGGAAGGCACAGACAGCCAGGAUGUUGGCUUAGAAGCAGCCAUCAUUUAAAGAAAGCGUAAUAGCUCACUGGUCGAGUCGGCCUGCGCGGAAGAUGUAACGGGGCUAAACCAUGUACCGAAGCUGCGGCAGCGACACUAUGUGUUGUU
rnacentral:rRNA from 1 species